UUUAUGUCGCUUUGACCCUAGGUCUUACCUCCCUUAUAUAACGACGGUUUUCUUCGUUCAAUUUCUCGAUUGUGCACCACGCAGGCCCCCUUCCCUCCCUCUCUUCCUCUCUCCAACACUAUGGCUGAAGUUCUGAAGGUUGUGGAAGAAGUAACAGCUGAAUCAAAAAAUUUGACGGCCAAACUGUCAUCUCUAAACAAAGACGAAAGUCUGGGGAAACGGAGGUUUAGUGGCCUAGGAAAUGCUAUGGAAAUCAAGAGCUCCUUCUAGAGCUGCAUGUUUUGGAUGGCUGGCUACGCACCGUGCAUGUCUUGUGCAGGAAGCUUUGCAGAGAAGGUGCUUCUCCUUAUGCAGCAGAUGUCUUUUGUGAAAGAUCUCAGGAAUCUAGCAAACAUCUUUUAUUGCAUUGUUACUAUGUGUGGCAGUCUUGGAUGCUCUUUUUGAGUGUCCAGUAGGUUAUGCCUCAAAAUACGACGAGUUUGCUGUUAAGUUGGCACGGCUAGUGAAUUGGAAGUAGAAGUAAACAGCUCAGGGCAACUGUUCCCCAUUGUGCAUCAUAUUUCUUUUGUGCAAAUAUAUGCUUACAAGAGUUGAUUAAUACAAGGAUCAUAAACAAAAGUUCAAGGCUCCCCUAACUACUGUUUCAGCUA